GAUGAACGCUGGCGGCGUGCCUAAUACAUGCAAGUCGAGCGGACUUACAAAAGCUUGCUUUUGUAAGUUAGCGGCGGACGGGUGAGUAACACGUGGGCAACCUGCCCUUGAGACUGGGAUAACUUCGGGAAACCGGAGCUAAUACCGGAUAAUAUAAGGAACCUCCUGGUUCCUUAUUGAAAGAUGGUUUCGGCUAUCACUUAAGGAUGGGCCCGCGGCGCAUUAGCUAGUUGGUGAGGUAACGGCUCACCAAGGCGACGAUGCGUAGCCGACCUGAGAGGGUGAUCGGCCACACUGGGACUGAGACACGGCCCAGACUCCUACGGGAGGCAGCAGUAGGGAAUCUUCCACAAUGGACGAAAGUCUGAUGGAGCAACGCCGCGUGAGUGAUGAAGGCCUUCGGGUCGUAAAGCUCUGUUGUUAGGGAAGAACAAGUGCGAGAGUAACUGCUCGCACCUUGACGGUACCUAACCAGAAAGCCACGGCUAACUACGUGCCAGCAGCCGCCGUAACAC
rnacentral:rRNA from 1 species